UACGUAGGUGGCAAGCGUUAUCCGGAUUUACUGGGUGUAAAGGGCGUGUAGGCGGGACUGCGAGUCAGAUGUGAAAACCACGGGCUCAACCUGUGGCCUGCAUUUGAAACUGUAGUUCUUGAGUACUGGAGAGGCAGACGGAAUUCCUAGUGUAGCGGUGAAAUGCGUAGAUAUUAGGAGGAACACCAGUGGCGAAGGCGGUCUGCUGGACAGCAACUGACGCUGAGGCGCGAAAGCGUGGGGAGCAAACAGG
rnacentral:rRNA from 1 species